UGCAUCAUCAUAUACUGAACAAGAAUGUAAAUGGAGGCUUCAUGCUGUAAUUUUGAAAAAACAUGGAUAUUUUUAGAUUACAAGAUAUGAAGGUUCUCAUACUUGUUUGCUUAUAGGAUUGAGUCAAGAUCACAAGCAUGUCAGUAGAAGGAUGAUUGGCACGCUAGUCUGAUAUUUGGUUGAGAAAGAUUCAGGUGUUAAAGUUGAAGCUAUUGUGGCAGU
rnacentral:lncRNA from 1 species